rnacentral:lncRNA from 1 species
ACUUUCACUACUUAUGAAUAUAAGUUAAUAACGAUUAGGUGAAAUUCCCUUAUACCCUAGCAUCAAGUUUAGGCAUGCAAAUUAAGUGUCGACCCUCAACCCACAUACAUAAACAAGUUAUCAAUCAAAUAGAUAAGUAAAUCACAUUCACAAUUUCUGAAAAUCAUAAUUGGAAGAAAUCAAAUCAUAUAAAACAUAUGUCCAUGACUUCAAAUUCACCUCUAACUAAAAAGAAAUUAGU